rnacentral:rRNA from 1 species
CCUACGGGGGGCAGCAGUGGGGAAUAUUGGACAAUGGGCGAAAGCCUGAUCCAGCCAUGCCGCGUGUGUGAAGAAGGCCUUCGGGUUGUAAAGCACUUUCAGUGGGGAAGAAAGCCUUGGGGCUAAUACCCUCGAGGAAGGACAUCACCCACAGAAGAAGCACCGGCUAACUCCGUGCCAGCAGCCGCGGUAAUACGGAGGGUGCGAGCGUUAAUCGGAAUUACUGGGCGUAAAGCGCGCGUAGGCGGUCUGAUAAGCCGGUUGUGAAAGCCCCGGGCUCAACCUGGGAACGGCAUCCGGAACUGUCAGGCUAGAGUGCAGGAGAGGAAGGUAGAAUUCCCGGUGUAGCGGUGAAAUGCGUAGAGAUCGGGAGGAAUACCAGUGGCGAAGGCGGCCUUCUGGACUGACACUGACGCUGAGGUGCGAAAGCGUGGGUAGCAAACAGGAUUAGAUACCCCUGUAGUC